rnacentral:tRNA from 1 species
CAGAGCGCAGCUAAAACAGUAAAGCAUCUCCCUUACACCGAGAAGUCGUCUGUGCAAAUCAGACCGCUUUGA